GGAAAUUAUAUUUCUCAAUUGUGCCUGAUAUUGUAGAGAAAGCAGGAGUAGAGCGCCCAUUCUAGUUAUACUCCCACAAUAUCACAGUUUUACUAUAGAUAUAGUGGUAUCAGUAGAAGAGUGAUAAGACCACAUAAUAUUAAUGCUCUGCUUGCAAGGUCUGAAUGUGAGAUGGCAUCAUUUGGCUCAUGAAGCAGGUCUCCAAGAAUAAAUGAUGACACCUUCUAAAUGAUGUCUAUUUGUUCUUUCGUCAGUGGAAACAGUACAUGAAGAUGAUGUUUUGCUUCAUCAACAGGUACCUCAGGGGGAAUUUAUGAUUGUGGGAAAGUGGUGGUUCAACAGUUAAGGCACCAGCUUACUGAUCAGAAGCUCUGGGGGUCAAGCCCCACCACCAAGUCGCCACCGUUGGGCUCUUGAUCAAAGCCCUUAACUCUCUAUCCUCCUGGGGUACUGAUUGAUGGCUGCCCAUGCACUCUGGUCCCAACUUCCUAACAGCUGCGAUAUGGCAAUGGGAAAGAAACUCAGACCGGCCCCUUUUCACCACAACUGAGUGCAGGCUGGUUUUGUCUCACAGACUGUACAAGUUGAUGACAUCCUGAGGGAUGCCUCAUAGCAUGGUUAAGUGAUUAUCAGCAACAGCAGUGUCAGCUCAGCAAACUCUGUCAUAAAACAGGUAAAUGGACUUUUUCAUCCUGGUCAGGGUUGCAGUGUAUCUGAAGCCUACUCCAGGAACACUUGGUAUAAGGCAGCAAUACAAUCUGGAUACAAUGCCAGUCAUUAACAUCCUGCGGCUAAUUUAGCAUAGCCAAUCUACCUACUGGGAUAUCUUUUUUCACUGGAAGAAAAAAUAAAUAUUCAACUGCUGUAAUGAAACAAUAAAUGUCAAGUAAAUUCAUGUUCAACGUAAAUAAUGUAUCUCUUUUCUGCAGAAUACUGUGUUUAGAUCUGUGUAAUUGGUGGUUAAUUGUGUGCAUUGUCAGAU
ensembl:lncRNA